UCGCUUCUACCGAUGAAUGAUCCGGUGAACACUCUGGACUCGUAGUUUCAUAUGGGGCAACCCUUAGAGACCAACGAGGAAGUUGUGUAAACCUUAUCAUUUAGAGGAAGAAG
rnacentral:rRNA from 1 species